UAGAGAAAAGGUGAAAAGGCAGCAGAGUGAGCCAGCUGUCCUCUCUCUCCUCUUUUUCCUGCCCCCGAUGACUUGCAUUUUCUCUGAGACAGCUGUCAUUCUGGUCUCCCAGCCAUUCUUAGCAAGAGACGUGCCUGGCUCCGGGAAGGGGCAACUUCUCUGCAUGUCAGAGUUAAGUAAUGAAGAAAAAGCUCAAGAAGUGUCCUGAACAGCAGCAGCUGUGGGUGGGGAAUGUUGAAUGUCUGGGAGACUGAGAGCUGGUCCAAUUUUUGAAUGAAGACUUCUGUGCUAAAGAGGAUCUAAGGUUUGUUGGAGGAGCAUGGCCCUGGUACAACACUUUGUCCUUUCCCAAGUAGGUCCUUCACAGAGGAUUUAAGCAAUAGAGUAUUUUGUUUUAAAUUCUGAGCUAAUUUAUUUUUUAAAAUUUGUAUUUCAGUAGCUUUAGGGGU
rnacentral:lncRNA from 1 species